rnacentral:rRNA from 1 species
UUGGGGAGCGAAAUUUAGUAGCGAAGUUCCUGAUGUCACACUGCCAAGAAAAGCUUCUAGUGAGAAAGUAACUGCCCGUACCGCAAACCGACACAGGUAGUUGAGGAGAGAAUCCUAAGGUGUGCGAGAGAACUCUCGUUAAGGAACUCGGCAAAAUGACCCCGUAACUUCGGGAGAAGGGGUGCUGACCGCAAGGUCAGCCGCAGUGAAUAGGCCCAAGCGACUGUUUAUCAAAAACACAGGUCUCUGCAAAAUCGAAAGAUGACGUAUAGGGGCUGACGCCUGCCCGGUGCUGGAAGGUUAAGAGGAGAGGUUAGCGCAAGCGAAGCUUUGAAUUGAAGCCCCAGUAAACGGCGGCCGUAACUAUAACGGUCCUAAGGUAGCGAAAUUCCUUGUCGGGUAAGUUCCGACCCGCACGAAAGGCGUAACGAUUUGGGCACUGUCUCAACGAGAGACUCGGUGAAAUUAUAGUACCAGUGAAGAUGCUGGUUACCCGCGACAGGACGGAAAGACCCCAUGGUGCUUUACUGCAGUUUGAUAUUGCGUGUUUGUAUCACAUGUACAGGAUAGGUAGGAGCCGAAGAUACCGGGACGCCAGUCUCGGAGGAGGCAACGGUGGGAUACUACCCUUGUGAUAUGACCACUCUAACCCGCUGCUCUUAGCGAGCAGGGAGACAGUGUCAGUCGGGCAGUUUGACUGGGGCGGUCGCCUCCAAAAAUGUAACGGAGGCGCCCAAAGGUUCCCUCAGAAUGGUUGGAAAUCAUUCGUAGAGUGUAAAGGCAGAAGGGAGCUUGACUGCGAGACCUACAAGUCGAGCGGGGACGAAAGUCGGGCUUAGUGAUCCGGUGGUUCCGCAUGGAAGGGCCAUCGCUCAACGGAUAAAAGCUACCCUGGGGAUAACAGGCUUAUCUCCCCCAAGAGUUCACAUCGACGGGGAGGUUUGGCACCUCGAUGUCGGCUCAUCGCAUCCUGGGGCUGUAGUCGGUCCCAAGGGUUGGGCUGUUCGCCCAUUAAAGCGGUACGCGAGCUGGGUUCAGAACGUCGUGAGACAGUUCGGUCCCUAUCCGUCGCGGGCGUUGGAAAUUUGAGAGGAGCUGUCCUUAGUACGAGAGGACCGGGAUGGACACACCGCUGGUGUACCAGUUGUUCUGCCAAGAGCAUCGCUGGGUAGCUAUGUGUGGACGGGAUAAACGCUGAAAGCAUCUAAGCGUGAAGCCCCCCUCAAGAUGAGAUUUCCCAUCACUUUAAGUGAGUAAGACCCCUGAGAGAUGAUCAGGUAGAUAGGUUGGGAGUGGAAGUACAGCGAUGUAUGGAGCGGACCAAUACUAAUCGGUCGAGGACUUAACCAA